GCAGGCGGAAGGGGAUUUCUGAUAUCUGAUCUCGAUCAUUCUGCUUCCUUCUCUUUGCUCUGAUUCUUAAUCCUUUUUGUUUGUGUGCGAUCUCCACAAGCUGAUUUAUGGAUUUCAGCUGCAAAAUUGAUUCGAUUGAAGUGGGUGUGAUCGCAAAUUUCUACGGGCAACAAGCAUCUGAUUUUCUGGUUCCAUCGAUAUUUCAAACCCUUGAUCGAUUGAUUCCUUGGUUACGGUUUCUACGGUUUGGUCUUCCCAAGUAAUUUAUAGCUUGCUCUCUUGUUUGAUUUUUCAGGAAGGUAUCCUUUUGUGUUCCUCGUUUACUUGGAAAGUUUGCACAUCGGGUCUUUUGUCAUCUUAUACUGGGCUCCGGUGUCUUUUACAUAAGUUCUAUAGUGAUAAAAGGGA